CUGCCACCUUCCAGAAUGUGGCCCGAGAACUCCCUGCACCCUGGGUAGAGAAAGCCUCGUGCUGGAGAACACCUGGUAAUUAACUCGCGGUAAGCACCAAGCACCUGCUCUACCAGGGUCUGCUCCAGGACCCGUCUUCACAACGACCCUGCAAGGAACUGGGCUGUCCGCAGUGACUGGUCUGCCAGCUGGCAUGCGGGUUGGGACUUAGAGCGACUGAAAGAAAACAAGGAACGAGUCCCCUGGAGUCUUCCACACACAGUCAGGAGGCCCCUGUGAGACCCACGAGCAGGAAUAAGUCAUUUCAGGAGCCGGGUGCCCAUCCAGCACCAUCCGUCGGCCACCCGGGAGGAUGAGCUGGCACGGACGGCUCUCCACGUCCUCCAGACUGGCUCCUCUCCCGAGCUCUCCGGUUCAGACGAUGGGCCCUGUCCCUCUGGAGUCACCCCCAUCACCUCCAAUCCUUAUAACUCCCCAGCCCGCCCUGCACUCAGGCUGCUGGCUCCAUCCGCCCCUGCCGCUGCUUCUCCUCUCCACUCCCCUGCCCCUCCCAGCUCAGUCCACCAUCUUCUCUUACCCAGAGCCUUCUCAUCGCUCUCCUGCCUCCCCUCGUCC